AGGGUUGCUCUGAGGCUCACAGGCUGGAACUUCAAGGCACUUUGUACAGCUCUUCAGCUACCAGAACCAUUGGUUUUAUUCCAAUGGUACCAGGAAUUUAUGGAGCUUGCAAAUAUCAUCCAACAUAUUAACCAAGAACAGGACACCAAAAGGGACAACUCUGAAAACAACACAUCUCCAAAUAUUUGUAUGGAAAUCAACCAAAUUCUUCUCAAAACCAAGGACCUUCUAAAACAAUUGCCACCGUCCAAUUUUAACACUCUACAUUACCUUAUCAUCCAUCUUAAGAGGGUUGUAGACCAUUCUGAAGAAAACCUGAUGAACUCAAAAACUUGGGGGUGGUAUUUGGACCAUGUCUGAUGAGGCCCAGGCCUACUAACCACUCCUGGUACCAUCUCUUCCUCUCUUGUUGCAUAUGCCAAUCAGGCCCUGUUGGUAGAGUUCCUCAUUACCAAUUCAUAGAUGAUCUUCGAUGGGUCCCUAGAGCCACAAAAUGUUUCAUCUAGUACUGAUGUUGUUGCACCUUGGGUGGAUAAAAGCCCUCCUACCAAACCCGUAUAUCAACAGAACAUUCCACAAAGUCACAAUAUUUUUUCUACAAAGCAAGUGAGUUUUGACCAUUACAGAAUUGGAUUAAAUAUGUGAUGUUUAUGUUAACAAGUUAAUAGUCUUUGAACUGUUUGUUUUUGAGAUGUGUUUUCCUUUUAGUUUAAAGCUUUUCUUGUAUCAAUAGGAUAUCCACAAUGCAGAUAUUUAAAUUAAAAAUUAUGAAUUGGCUACAUCAUUUGAGGAAUCAGAAUGCAAGCAAAAUGCAUUGGAAUAAUGGGAUGCAUGUCUCAUUGGUGAGUGGUCAUGUAACAUAUAUCUUUGCAUAUUUCAAACCUUGCCAAGAAGUCAUGAUUAAAAACCAAAGUGAGGGCUGGGCUUGUAGCUCAGUGGUAAAACGCUUGCCUUGGCAAGUGUAAGGCCAUGAGUUGGAUCCUCAGUACCAUAUAAAACAAAUAAAUAAAGAUAAAAUAUUGUGUCCAUCUACAAUACUCAUCCUUUAAAAAAAAAACAAGGUGUAUUAAGUUGAGGUAAGUUCAAACUUCAAGGUUUUAUUAGUUAACUUUUCUAGCCACUGAGAAAGUUUAAUGAAUGUCAUUUAAAUGAAUAUCAUGCUUUGUUUCUUUCUUGUAAAAAGAUAUCUUGAAAUUCAUAAAUUAUUUUUGUUCUCUUUCUGAGAUUUGUUUUCACCUUUACUUCUUUGUCAUCAAUUAAAGUCAAAACAGAAAAAAGCUGGACUCCUGAAACUCAAAAAAAUAGACUCCUAAAGUUUUUUGAUGUCCCUUUACUAGCACAUU